rnacentral:rRNA from 1 species
AGAGCGAACGCUGGCGGCAGGCCUAACACAUGCAAGUCGAGCGCCCGUAGCAAUACGGGAGCGGCAGACGGGAUAGUAACACGUGGGAACGCGCCCUUCGGUUCGGAAUAACUCAGGGAAACUUGAGCUAAUACCGGAUACGCCCUUACGGGGAAAGAUUUAUCGCCGAAGGAACGGCCCGCGUCCGAUUAGCUAGUUGGUGAGGUAAUGGCUCACCAAGGCGACGAUCGGUAGCUGGUCUGAGAGGAUGACCAGCAUCACUGGGACUGAGACACGGCCCAGACUCCUACGGGAGGCAGCAGUGGGGAAUAUUGGACAAUGGGCGCAAGCCUGAUCCAGCCAUGCCGCGUGGAUGAUGAAGGCCUUAGGGUUGUAAAGUCCUUUUAACGGGGAAGAUAAUGACGGUACCCGUAGAAUAAGCCCCGGCUAACUUCGUGCCAGCAGCCGC